GGAGCAGCUGUUAAGGCAAUUUACACAUCCUGUGAUAAAAAUUAACCACGCAACGAAAACGAUGUGAGCGUCAAAGGAACUGUACAGAGGGCGCUUCCUUAAGUAUUACAUAAAUUAUGUACAAGGCUCCAGUAUAAAUUUGUGCCUUUGAACGGAGAUUUAACAAAAUAAAGUUUGCAAAUACUUUUCAGAUAUGGAGAGCAAGGCUAUCAUCUUAGUAUUUUGUGUUCUGCUGGCGGCCAGUUUCAUAUACGAAGCAGGGGCACUUUACAGUCAGAACUGUAAAUUUGGGAAGAGAGAACUUCACCCGAAUUUCCGGAGAAGACACGAAAGGAGAAAAACUACAGGAUUUAAAUCAGUAAAAGAUGUAAAUUGGAUUUAUAAUUGAGUUGAGCUGCUGAUUGAGUAAAGCUUACCACUGUUGAAGCCUUCUUGUAAAAUAAUUAAAUUGCGUGUAUGUA